AGCAGAGGAAGCUGUUUGCGGGGAAAAAGGGCCAGAGAAGCAGGUAGGCUCCUCAAGCUUGGAUGGAGUGGGGCUUGGCACUAGAUUUGCUUAAAGUCCAGCCACUUCAGCCUCUCCCUUCGGUUUGUCUCCUAGGGGUUCCCUGUACGUACCCCUUUCCCUCCAGCACUGGAGCCCGAGUCUCCCGCUGAGCAGGCACCUCUCCCUCCACGCCCAGGCUUCUUAAACCAACCCCUCCUCCCCUUGUCAUUCAUGAACCAGAUGCAGAAACUGAGGCUCAGAAGCGUUCGGCCACGUGCAUGCAUUGCCUUUCCCAUUGGUGCUCCAUCGCCAGUAAUGGAUAAGUAAUAAGUAAUAAGGUGCAUUGGAAAUUCAAAUUUCAGAAUAAGCUGACUGCCAAGAGGGCCCUCCCCCUGUCGGGAGUCCCUUAGUCCAUGGGAAAUUCACAGAGAAGGAAACAGUCACUUUUCCUGCACCUGAGAAGGUGAUUCUGACUCUCCUGGAACCUGAGAACCACCAGUCUACGGGAACAGAGCCCUGCUUUGGGUCAGGUGUGUAUAACUAUGGUAUUCCCUUUCUUCUCUGCCUCUAUUGUUGAUGUUGUUUUUUUGUUUUUUGUUUUUUUUUGAAACGGAGUCUCGCUGUUGCCCAGGCUGGAGUGCAGUGGCGCAAUCUCGGCUCACUACAAUCUCCGCCUCUGGGGUUCACGCCAUUCUCCUGCCUCAGCCUCCCGAGUAGCUGGUAAGGGAGGAGACCACCCCUCACAUUGUCUUAUGCCCAAUUUCUGCCUCCAAAGAAAGAAGUAAAAACUAAAAGGCAGAAAUGAAAUCCACAGGCAGACAGCCCGGCGCUGCACCCUGGGCCUGGUAGUUAAAGAUCGACCCCUGACCUAAUCAGUUAUGUUGUCUAUAGAUUACAGACAUUGUAUAGAAAUGCACUGUGAAAAUCCCUAUCUGUUUUGUUCCGAUCUAGUUACCAGUGCAUGCAGACCCCAGUCACGUACCCCUUGCUUGCUCAAUCAAUCCCGACCCCCUCACACGCACCCUCCUUAGAGUUGUGAGCCCUUAAAAGGGAUAGGAAUUGCUCACUCGGGGAGCUCGGCUCUCGAGACAGGAGUCUUGCCGAUGCCCCCAGCCGAUUAAACCCCUUCCUUCAACUCGGUGUCUGAGGAGUUUUGUCUGCAGCUCGUCCUGCUACACUGGGACUACAGGCGCUCGCCACCACGCCCGGCUAAUUUUUUAUAUUUUUUAGUAGAGGCAGGGUUUCACCGUGUUAGCCAGGAUGGUCUCGAUUGCCUGACCUCAUGAUCCGCCUGCCUUGGCCUCCCAAAGUGUUGGGAUUACAGGCGUGAGCCACCGCGCCCGGCCCCACUCUCUACCUCUGUUUGUUUAGGGGCAGGCAUAGAAUCCCAUUCUAGUCAAUGAGACAGAAAGGGGUUCUGGAAAGUUCCCCCACCCCCUUAUAAAACAAGGAGGACGUCUUCAAGGAGGACGUCUGAGGAGAAGCUUUGCCGUGGCCUUUUGCCUUUGGAUGCUGCCAGAGGGGUUAGAAGGCGGAGCUCCACAGUCAGGCAGCUGGGGUGUGUAUCCUAGCGGGGAGAGCAAGAGACAGUGGGACAAAAAUAAUAACAGUAAUAGCAGCAAUGCUUCUUGAGGACUUUCCGCAUGGCAGGCCCUAUUCUAAGCACCUCAUGUAGCAUAUUUUACCCUCAAACAGUCCUGAGGUAGGUUCUGUUAUUGCGAUUUUAUAAAUGAGGAAACUGAAGCACAGACAAGUUUAAAUAACUCGUUCAAAGUCAUACAGCUCAUACAUGGAGGCCAGCAUGCAGGCCAGGUGUGUGGGGUAUGGGCAUUGCGGGCUACUUUAGGGACCCUGACCUUUUCCUCAGCAUAGUGGGAAGCUGGUGAAAGGUUUUAAGCAGGGGUGGCCCCUCUGAUUUACCUUUUUUUUUUUUUUUUUUUUUUUGAGACAGUGUCUCACUCUGUUGCCCAGGCUGGAGCGCACUGGUGAGAUCUUGGCUCACUGCAGCCUCAAACUCCUGGGCUCAAGUGAUCCUCCCACCUCAGCCUCCUGAGAAGCUGGGACUACAGGCAAAUGCUACAGUGGCUGGCUACUUUUUGUAAAGACGGAGUUUCACCAUGUUACCCAGGCUGGUUUUGAACUCCUGAGCUCAAGCAAUCCGUCCACCUCUGCCUCCCAAAGUGCUGGGAUUACACGCAUGAGCCACCACAUCUGGCCUGAUUUACUUUUAAAAGUCACUGAAAUGCUUUGCUCCUAAAUUCUCUGCUGGGGACAAGCCAGCCACACUUGCACGGCCUGUUCUUCAGCCUCUUUUCCUCCCUGAGACAUCAGUCCCUUAGCAAACCCAGCGUCUUGGGUGACUGGGACCAGGGUGACUCAAUGGCAGAUGCUGAUGGGUGAGACAGCCACAAAGAUGAUCUUUGGAGAGUGAGUUAUAGGUGAUUUGUUUUAUUUAAUUUUUAAUUUUUUUAUUUUUUUUUGAGACAGAGUCUCACUCUGUCGCCCAGGCUGGAGUGCAGUGGCGUGAUCUCAGCUCACUGCAACCUCCUCCUCCCGGUUCAAGCUACUCUCCUGACUCAGCCUCCAGAGUAGCUGAGAUUCCAGGCAUGUGCCACCACACCCAGCUAAUCUUUGUAUUUUUAGUAUAGACAGGGUUUCACCAUAUUGGCCAGGCUGGUCUCCAACUCCUGACCUCAAGUGAUCCACCAACCUUGGCCUCCCAAAGUGUUGGGAUUACAGGAGUGAGCCACCACCUCUGGCCAGGUGAUUCGUUUUAAAUCUGAAUUUUUACAUUUUUUUAUAAUAAGUGACCAUAUAUCACUUGCUAUUUAAAAAAAAAUUUUUUUUGAGAUGGAGUUUCACCCUUGUUGCCCAGGCUGGAGUGCAAUGGCAUGAUCUUGGGCCACUGCAAUCUCCGCCUCCCGGGUUCGAGCGAUUCUCCUGCCUCAGCCUCCAAGUAGCUGGGACUACAGGCAUGUGCCACCACGCCCAGAUAAUUUUUGUAUUUUUAGUAGAGGCAGGGUUUCACCAUGUUGGCCAGGCUGGUCUCAAACUCCUGACCUCCGGUGAUUCUCCUGCCUUGGCCUCCCAAAGUGCUGGGAUUACAGGCAUGAGCCACCGUGCCCAGCCAAAAGUCAUUAUUUAUAAAAAGAAAGAUGAGGGGCCAGCACCCCACCCUCCCCAGGGUUGUUGACUCCUGCUGGUACUGGCUGUGGCUGAAGUCAUCAUCAUGGAGGCUAACCCUUGGAGGGUAGAUAGUGCAGUGGCAGCAUCCUAAGGGCUUUAUGUGACCUGUAUGAACUCAUUUAAUCCCCACUGGCUUGGCCAAGGCCACAGAGCUGAAGAGUGGCAGGCUAGCGUCCGGACUCUCAGCUAUGUACCAGGCUGCUUUUCUGGAAAUGUUUUCCAGUUCCCCCGUGGGUGAAAGGCCUGUCCUUCCCACACCUUCCACAGUGGAAGUGGCCUCCAUUCUCUGCUGUGCAGAAUUGCUGGUGGAGAAGUGGGUGUUGGGGAGCUGGGGGCAGGAAAUAGAAGAUAUUGGACAGAAAUGUCCUGCAGUUGUUUGAAGCCUAAACAAAAACCCUUUCUUGGCCAGGUGCGGUGGCUCAUGCCUAUAAUCCUGGCACUUUGGGAGGCUGAGGUGGGCCGAUCACUUGAGGUCAGGAGUUCAAAACCAGCCUGGCUAACAUGGUGAAACUCCAUCUAUUCUAAAAAUACAAAAAUUAGCCGAGUGUGGUGGUGGGUGCCUGUAAUCCCAGCUACUCGGGAGGCUGAGGCAGGAGAAUCACUUGAACCCGGGAGGCAGAGGUUGCAGUGAGCUGAGAUCGCGCCUCUGCACUCCAGCCUGGGUGACAGAGCGAGACUCCUCUCAAAAAAAAACAAACUCGUCCCUCUCCCUCUCCCUCUCCCUCUCCCUCUCCCUCCACGGUCUCCCUCUGAUGCCGAGCCGAGGCUGGACGGUACUGCUGCCAUCUCGGCUCGCUGCAGCCUCCCUGCCUGAUUCUCCUGCCUCAGCCUGCCCAGUGCCACGCCUGACUGGUUUUCGUUUUUUUUUGGUGGAGACGGGGUUUCGCCGGGCUGGUCUCCGCUCCUGACCGCGAGUGAUCCGCCGGCCUCGGCCUCCCGAGGUGCCGGGAUUGCAGAUGGAGUCUCGUUCACUCGGUGCUCAAUGGUGCCCAGGCUGGAGUGCAGUGGCGUGAUCUCGGCUCGCUACAACCACCUCCCAGCCGCCUGCCUUGGCCUCCCGAAGAGCCGAGAUUGCAGCCUCUGCCCGGCCGCCACCCCGUCUGGGAAGUGAGGAGCGUCUCUGCUUGGCCGCCCAUCGUCUGGGAUAUGAGGAGCCCCUCUGCCUGGCUGCCCAGUCUGGAGGGUGAGGAGUGUCUCUGCCCGGCCGCCAUCCCAUCUAGGAAGCGAGGAGCGCCUCUUCCCCGCCGCCAUCCCAUCUAGGAAGUGAGGAGCGUCUCUGCCCGGCCGCCCAUCGUCUGAGAUGUGGGGAGCGCCUCUGCCCCGCCGCCCUGUCUGGGAUGUGAGGAGCGCCUCUGCUGGGCCGCAACCCUGUCUGGGAGGUGAGGAGCGUCUCUGCCCGGCCGCUCCGUCUGAGAAGUGAGGAAACCCUCUGCCUGGCAACCGCCCCGUCUGAGAAGUGAGGAGCCCCUCCGUCCGGCAACCACCCUGUCUGGGAAGUGAGGAGCGUCUCCGCCCGGCAGCCACCCCGUCCGGGAGGGAGGUGGGGGGGGUCAGCCCCCCGCCCGGCCAGCCGCCCCGUCCGGGAGGUGAGGGGCUCCUCUGCCCGGCCGCCCCUACUGGGAAGUGAGGAGCCCCUCUGCCCGGCCAGUCGCCCCGUCCAGGAGGGAGGUGAGGGGGUCAGCCCCCCGCCCGGCCAGCCGCCCCGUCCGGAAGGGGGGGGGGGUCAGCCCCCC
rnacentral:lncRNA from 1 species